rnacentral:lncRNA from 1 species
CUCACAGCUCAAAACAAUUUUGAGAUUUCUAAGCCAGUCCUUGUAAUUUGUACCGGUCAAGCGGUUGGUCUCAAGAAUACGGGUCAAAGGGUUUGAGGCUGACAUUAUGAUCUGCAGAGAGUAAAGAUUCUAGUUAGACUUUUGUACUUGAUCCUAAAUCUGUUCUAAGGACUUUUAGAACGAAUGUACCUCCCACUAUUUUCUCAAAUUCCUCACACUCUCCUGGUAGGAAAAACGGAAAUCCUACACGACUAGGAUUUCUAGUGGGUACUGCGGUUCCACCGAUUUACAUGCCACCUCACCUAAUAGUUAUUGAUGACACAUAAAUUGAUGAAUGUACAACUCUUGUACAAUGCUUCUCAAGCAUGUUGUAGUGCUUCUUGGUCUCUAAGCUAUGAAAACCUCACCUAAUAGUUAUUGGUCUUAUUUCUUAGUUAAGUCAGACCCACCGUAUAACCGUAGGAAUAAAGUCGUCAUUGGGUCCUCACCUAACAGUUAUUGGUGCCCAACCCCACCUUUACCCUACAACAUCUCAUGUCUAUAGAGAGGUCCAGCCCCCCGAUGCAACUUGCCCACUGUGUUCAACCGAGACAAAUCAACAUCAGAAAGACCUUAGCAGCUCUACUACAGUGGAAGACCUAUUGACUUAAUAUUGGUUAAUCAGGUCUUAGUGUUUGCAACUUGAGCUCUUCAUAAGA